AUUAUAUUCCCUCCUAAAUAUUUGUCUUUCUCAAAUUUCUGAUUGACCAACAAAAACAACACUCAUAAAACAUGUUGUUUUCCCCAAAUGAAAAAACUAAUAUGCAGGUAUCAUUGUUAUUCUUCCUCGUCAUAUAUAGCUUCUCUAGAGUUUUAUAAGAGCGUCUCUUUGCCACACUAAGAAGCUGUUGAAAUCACAAGGCUUCUCGUUGGAUUUCUCGUCUGCCCAAAUCAGAGUCUCGUAAAAGCGUUUCUUUGAAUAUUUUGUUCAUAAUUUUUUCGUCGGCUUCUCUAAACGAUUCCCUAUAUGCAGGAAACCGAGAGACUCUUUCUAAAAGCAGUGACUCGAAAGGAAGCUCAAGAGGUAAAAGAAGAAGAAUGAAUUAGAGUAUAAGAUGAGGAAUAAAAGGCGAAACAAAGCCAGUCAUGAUCUUGUGGAACGUAAUGCAACUUUAUCCAUUGUUUCUGCAAUCUUGAUGGAGAUUAUGAAUGGGCGAACUUGGAUAAAGCACUCCGAAGAUACUGGCUUACAAGGAUGGCUGCUUUGCUUAAGUAUGCUGAUUAGUCUGUCUAUGAUAGACAACUCUAAUUGAAAAAGACAAAACGGAUGUUGGAUUCCUACAAGAUGCCGGAAUCUGAUCCUGACAGGUCCAUUAGUUUUAGGUAUCACUUUAGUUCCUGUAGGGGUGCAACAUGCUCGGCCUACAACUGAAGAAGAUGAACUUGUUGUUUUGCAACAUAGAUGGCUGUUUGAGCUAGAUUUUGUGGUUAAUGUUCAAAAGUGAAUCUUUUGAGACACAUUGAAUGAAGUUGCUUUGUGAUGAAGUUCUGACAGGGAUCCUGCAAUAAUAUGAAAAUGGCGUAGAAGCAGAAAAAGUGAUCUUUUCGAAAUUUGAGUUGCAAAGGUUUGUGGAUUGAGGAACAAAGCAAGGACACUAACAAGCAAAAAGGAACAAGCUGAAAGGAGGAAGAAAGAUAGCCUAGUGAUCGCACAGUUCACUUGGCGAAUCACCAAAUGGCUAUUUACCAUCUAAAGUUCUAGUGUACCAAGCCCUUAAGGAAAUAACAAAGAUGGCAAUGGAAGGGAGUAGUCGGCAGAUCACCGAAUAAUUUUCCUGAAGCCAAGAUAGAUCGCCCAAAGUUAUAAACCUAGAGGAUGUUGAGUACCAAGGCAAAAGGGGAUGGAAUAGACCGUAGGUGGCUCACCAAGUGGUUCAACGAGCCCGACGUACUUUGUUGAGUAACUCUUCACAACAUAUUUUGACGACUAUAAAUGCAUUAUUGAACAUUUAGUUUACUA